CCUGCCGGGGCGUUUCCGGAAUAACAGUGGCUCUGCGAGUCCAAGAAAGGUUAAAGGCUCACGUUGAAUAUAAAUCUCUGGGAUUCCUGCUGAUAGUCCAGUGGUUAAUUUUACUGCGUCAAUAUCCAAGCCAACUAUUGUUAUGAUAAUCCCCUAUGUCUUAGAGCUGAAACAGGGUGGAGAAACAAGCUCCAAGAGGUCUCAGGCAGUGACGCUCUGCACCACCACAGGAUGGACCAGUUCAUGAGGGGAAGAUUGAUGUGAAGUGGAGACGUGAAGCCAGCAGGCACAAACUGGAAGCUGUGUGAAUGGAUGUACUAGAAGCCCUGCUUGCCGCCUUGGCCUCUCGUGCUUCCAGUCCUCCAACUUCGAUGAUGAAGCUGACCUAGAGAAGAGCUGGUGCACUUUGCUGUGGAGUUUCAUCCAAACCUAAUAAGCAUUCAGAGAAGCUGAAGAAGCAGUUGAAGCUGGAGGCUGAGCUGCAGCCUUGCAAUGUCAGGUCAGCCAGCAGAGGCACUGUCUUGUGUGUGAGCUACCACAGUGCCAGGCCCUACAUCAACCUUCUAACUUCCGAUAAACACGGCCACCAGGUCACUUCCGUCUUCCAAAUGUUGCCUAGGUUUUCUGGGAUGCACAGUUCCAGCUUAGCUACACUGACAUCACACAAAACCACCAGCCAGCAUAAUAAGGAGCACAGCCGGGCAAUGCAUAGAAAGCAUUUGUCUAUCUGUAAUGGCAGAGUCUGGCCAUCUGAGGAUGUGUGUGCAACAGGUGCACAGAACUCAUGCAAAGGUAAGGGAAGUUUAUAAAUCAGUGAUACUAGGUGACUAAUAAAAAUGGAUCAACUCCAGAAUAAAUUUUUUUUGGCUUUUUAGGGCUGUACCAGCAGCAUAUGGAGGUUCCCAGGCCAGGGGU